rnacentral:rRNA from 1 species
GCGAACGGGUGAGUAACACGUGAGCAAUCUGCCCUGGACUCUGGGAUAACCCCGAGAAAUCGGAGCUAAUACCGGAUACGACACCUCCCGGCAUCGGGUGGGUGUGGAAAGAAUUUCGGUCCAGGAUGAGCUCGCGGCCUAUCAACUUGUUGGUGAGGUAACGGCUCACCAAGGCGACGACGGGUAGCCGGCCUGAGAGGGUGACCGGCCACACUGGGACUGAGACACGGCCCAGACUCCUACGGGAGGCAGCAGUGGGGAAUAUUGCACAAUGGGCGCAAGCCUGAUGCAGCAACGCCGCGUGGGGGACGACGGCCUUCGGGUUGUAAACCUCUUUUAGCAGGGAAGAAGCGCAAGUGACGGUACCUGCAGAAAAAGCACCGGCUAACUACGUGCCAGCAGCCGCGGUAAUACGUAGGGUGCAAGCGUUGUCCGGAAUUAUUGGGCGUAAAGAGCUCGUAGGCGGUUUGUCGCGUCUGCUGUGAAAAUCCGAGGCUCAACCUCGGACCUGCAGUGGGUACGGGCAAACUAGAGUGCGGUAGGGGAGAUUGGAAUUCCUGGUGUAGCGGUGGAAUGCGCAGAUAUCAGGAGGAACACCAAUGGCGAAGGCAGAUCUCUGGGCCGUAACUGACGCUGAGGAGCGAAAGCGUGGGGAGCGAACAGGAUUAGAUACCCUGGUAGUCC